GUCUGCUGAACAUCUUCCUGGCCAAAGGCAAAUUAUUCAGUAUCUCGGUUUCUUCUCUAGAAAAUGGAAAUGACACUCACAGUGUGGUUGACAGAUCCCUGAUCCUUGAGAGGAGGAUUCCAAUAAUUCCAAAUGACAUCUCAUUUAUGGCUGAGUGCUUCUGAGUCUCUCUUUCUCUGCACAUGGUCCAGUUGUGGGUCUCUGUGUUCAUCACCGUCUACUGCAGAAAGAAGCUUCUCUAAGGAGGACUGAGUGGUACACCGAUCUGUAGAUGAAGUCAAGUCAUCAUUUAAUGAAAAUGCAACCUGAUCCGCUUUGAGCAUGAACCUGUUAAAGACGAGGCAAAUGUGCCUUCAGGGGCCUCCCACAGUCUUGAAUCUGGAAGACGAAUUUUCCUGUGUGUAAACCAAGGAUGGAGUCUUUGAAUCAGUAGUGACAGAAACUCAGCUCCAAUAAUUUAGGCUAAAAUGGAAGUUUACAAUGCCUUGUGUGGAUGUUGGAAAGGCACCAUGCAUUCAGAUUAAAGGUGAGGGGGACAUCAUUGAGACCAGUUUUUGAUUUAGAGAUUUAUUUGUUAUUUAAUUUAUGUGUAUCUGUGUGUGCCUGUGCGAGUUAUUUUCAUUCUAUCUUAUUUAUUGUUAUUUUUAUGUGUAUUGAUCUUCUGCCUGCAUGUAUAUCUAUGUAUCACUUGCAUGCCUAAUACCUGUGGAGGCCAAGAGAAGAU